rnacentral:rRNA from 1 species
UACGUAGGGUUCAAGCGCUAUCCGGAAUCACUGGGCGUAAAGAGUGCGUAGGCGGGAACUUAAGUGCAAUGCGAAAUCCGGUGGCUCAACCACCUGGACUGUAUCGCAUACUGAGUUUCUUGAGGACGGCAGAGGCAAGUGGAAUUACAGGUGUAGGGGUGAAAUCCGUAGAUAUCUGUAGGAACACCAAUGGCGAAGGCAGCUUGCUGGGCCGUAUCUGACGCUAAGGCACGAAAGCGUGGGGAGCAAACAGG